rnacentral:misc_RNA from 1 species
GAUGAAGAACGUAGCGAAAUGCGAUACGUAAUGUGAAUUGCAGAAUUCAGUGAAUCAUCGAAUCUUUGAACGCAUAUUGCGCUCUUUGGUAUUCCGAAGAGCAUGCUUGUUUGAGUAUCAGUAAACACCUCAAAGUCUUUUUUUCUUGAAGAAAAAGACCUUGGACUUGAGCAAUCCCAACUCUUCUUUCAGAAGAGGCGGGUUGCUUGAAAUGCAGGUGCAGCUGGACAUUCUCCUGAGCUAAAAGCAUAUUCAUUUAGUCCCGUCAAACGGAUUAUUACUUUUGCUGCAGCUAACAUAAAGGGAGUUUGACCAUUUUGGCUGACUGAUGCAGGAAUUUCACAAGAGUCUUCAAAACGCUCUUGUUAAACUCGAUCUCAAAUCAAGUAAGACUACCCGCUGAACUUAAGCAUAUCAAUAAGCGGAGGA